AAUGAAAUGCCUGAAAACAAGGUUUAUUUUGAUAGAAUAACUUAUGUGAGAAACAUCAAUUAAUCUCACUUUCAUUA
rnacentral:tRNA from 1 species